GAUGAAGAACGUAGCGAAAUGCGAUAAGUAAUGUGAAUUGCAGAAUUCAGUGAAUCAUCGAAUCUUUGAACGCACAUUGCGCCCGCCAGUAUUCUGGCGGGCAUGCCUGUUCGAGCGUCAUUUCAACCCUCAGGACCCUUUGGACCUGGUGUUGGGGCUCGGCCGCUACCCCGCGGCCGUCCCCGAAAGAUAGUGGCGGUCUCGCUGUAGCGUCCUCUGCGUAGUAAUUACACCUCGCACUGGAACGCGGCGCGGCCACGCCGUUAAACACCCCACUUCUCAAGGUUGACCUCGGAUCAGGUAGGAAUACCCGCUGAACUCAAGCAUAUCAAUAAGCGGAGGA
rnacentral:misc_RNA from 1 species